GACGAACGCUGGCGGCGUGCUUAACACAUGCAAGUCGAACGGAAAGGCCUGCUUUCCCUUGUGGAUUGCGGGUACUCGAGUGGCGAACGGGUGAGUAACACGUGAGUGAUCUGCCCCCAACUUGGGUAUAAGCCUGGGAAACUGGGUCUAAUUCCCGAUAGGACUGCAGGGUGGUGCCUGUGGUGGAAAACGAUUUUCUAGUGGUUGGGGAUGAGCUCGCGGCCUAUCAGCUUGUGGGUGGGGUAAUGUCCUACCAAGGCGGCGACGGGUAGCCGGCCUGAGAGGGGGGACGGCCACAGUGGGACUGAGAUACGGCCCAGACGCCUACGGGAGGCAGCAGUGGGGAAUAUGGCACAAUGGGCGGAAGCCUGAUGCAGCGACGCCGCGUGGGGGAUGACGGCCUUCGGGUUGUAAACUCCUUUCGACCGCGAGGAAGCCACCUGGUUGGAAGGGUGGUGACGGUAGUGGUAGAAGAAGCACCGGCUAACUACGUG
rnacentral:rRNA from 1 species